rnacentral:hammerhead_ribozyme from 1 species
AUCUAGCUGACCAGUCCCGAAUAGGAGGAAACGCGAGUCAAACUGGAU